rnacentral:lncRNA from 1 species
UGUUGUUCAAUGCUUUCUAGGGAUCAAACAUUCAUCUCUAUCUUCAGAAAACAAUGAAAUCUCGUCUUUGAAAAUUUUGGCGUUGUGCCAUGUCUGUUCAAUUCUUUCUAGGGAUUAAGCAUUCAUCCUUAUCUUUAGAAACUAUGAAAUCUUAUCCUCAAAAUUUUCGGCAUUACUCAUGCCAUAUCUGUCGUUCUAUUCUUUCCAGGGAUCAAACAUUCAUCUCUAUCUUUAGAAACAAUGAAAUCUUAUCCUUGAAAAUUUCUGUGUUACUGAUGCCAUGUCUGUUGUUUUCAAUUGAUGGUACUGCUCGUGAUGCAUAGAUCAGUCUUUCAUCCAACUAUGAGGGCCUUUGUCAUUUGAGAUGGCUUGUAACUUAAAAUAAGUGCCACUGGAACAAAAUGGCUGCAAAAGAUGAAUUAGUGUUUUCUGAUGAUUGUGUUCUUAAAAAUCAUUGUGUUGUUUGAUCAAUGAGACUAUUAAAGAUGAUUAAGGAAUUGCAUUUGCUAAGUGCAAAAUUAUAACCCCAGUAUGUUAAAGAGUUUUGAAGAUCAAAAUUCUCAUAGUUUUCGUUAGAUCAUAAAAUUGAAAAAGGGCAAAAAUAACACAAG